AUAGGCCUACGGGGCGCAGCAGUAGGGAAUCUUCCACAAUGGACGAAAGUCUGAUGGAGCAACGCCGCGUGAGUGAAGAAGGGUUUCGGCUCGUAAAGCUCUGUUGGUAGUGAAGAAAGAUAGAGGUAGUAACUGGCCUUUAUUUGACGGUAAUUACUUUGAAAGUCACGGCUAACUACGUGCCAGCAGCCGCGGUAAUACGGAGGGGGCAAGCGUUGUCCGGAUUUAUUGGGCGUA
rnacentral:rRNA from 1 species